rnacentral:rRNA from 1 species
UACGAAGGGAGCUAGCGUUGUUCGGAAUUACUGGGCGUAAAGGGCGCGUAGGCGGUUAAACAAGUCAGGCGUGAAAGCCCCGGGCUCAACCCGGGAACAGCGCUUGAGACUGUUUAUCUAGAGUACGGUAGAGGUAAGUGGAAUUCCCAGUGUAGCAGUGAAAUGCGUAGAUAUUGGGAGGAACACCAGUGGCGAAGGCGGCUUACUGGACCGUAACUGACGCUGAGGCGCGAAAGCGUGGGGAGCAAACAGG